GGGGCGGGUGCAGGUGCGGCAGGGCGCGGCGGGGGCCCAGCGAGGCUGGCUUGACGCUGAUCCGGGCUGCUCCCGGGCCUCCCUGAGAAACUGAGGCUACGGGGUAGGGCCCUGGAAAGGUAAAAAGUUAUGGCCUCCCUCCCCGACACAGGUGCCUGGAGCUCUUCCUUUCGGAGGAAGGGGCUGUGGGUUCCGGGGGGCCUGUUGCCCCCAAUCCCUGUUUGAGAAACACUGCCCCAUCCAUGCCUUGAACCCUGGACAGACCGCCUCAAGAGGAGGGGCAGGCCUGCCUGGCUGUCCCCAAUGCCUCCCCUAGGGAAAAAGCCAGUGGGACCAGGGGGACUUCUCAAUGGACACAACUUCUCCUUACUGCCGACUGGAGGAACCCAGUGGACCAGCCCAGCCACCAACAAGCUUUGGUGGCAGAUUGGAUGACCAUCCCACAAGCCUGUUGUAUUUACCCAUGGACCCACUCCCCACUACAGAGGCUCCUCCAUGCAUACCCCACCACCUGGCCCUGCCCCUCAUUAUGUCCCAAGGGCCUUACUGUUUACACUCUGUACAUAGUGCCUGUGCCCAUCACUUCUUGCGAGGAUCUGGAGCCAUCAAAUGGGGAGAGCUUUGUCAUUUUGAGACAUAUUUAUUGGAAAAAUUUGCCAACCACUGCUUUAGGGCAAUGAGGAUCACUGCCUGUCACUGGGCACACAGCAAUCCUGAACAAAAGCAGGAUUCUGGCAACAGGAAGAAGCAAAAAGGAUGGACAUGGAAGGGACAGCUCGCGGUGCCUACUACCUAUGCCAGUCAACACAUUUCAAGCCUGCAUCCAGUUAUCUAAUCUGCAACAGCAGAACGAAGAGUCCCCAUUCUAGCUAGGAACCUGACACAAAGGGGUUUUUCUGGAAGCCCUCAGCCCUGAGGACAUCUUCCCAGACUGACCAAAUGUAUAAGAUUUUGAAAGAGACCUGUGAAAAGGAAAGGGGGAUACCAGGAAAUAUCAGCACUGGCUGUGUCUCGAGAGGCUCAAGGGGCUAUUAUUUGCUCAGUGAACUCACCCCCAGCCAAGGUGUUGGUCCUUGAUAUUAUAGGUCUAGAAAAUGGAUCUGAUCAGGAUUCCAGAGUUACCAGUCACAUAAAAACUGACAGUCUAAGUCACUAGGAUGUGAAGUUCAUAAGCCCAACAC
rnacentral:lncRNA from 1 species